rnacentral:tRNA from 1 species
GGACUAUAGCUCAGUGGUAGAGUGCUUGCCUCACACAUGCAAGGACUGGGUUUGAUCCUCAGCACCA